rnacentral:tRNA from 2 species
GGGCCUGUAGCUCAGCUGGUAGAGCACUACGUUUACACCGUAAUGGUCGGGGGUUCGAGUCCCUCCGGGCCCA